CCUACUAGAAACAGGGGCCGAAAAUGGCAAAUUUCGCCAGACAACUGCGCAAUAUUAAAAUGUGGCUGCAUCUAGUAUAAUGCCAUAAUUCGGCUACCCACCCAGACAGUUGCAAUGCUUUAUCUAUCAAACGUAAUUAAUAGAAACAUUUAGUAUAAGAUUCCCUGAAUCAUAAUCAUCGUGCAUUCUAUCUCAAAGCGCACAAAACGUGUUUUUGCUUUCCUUUUCGCUACGACAUUCGCAUGUUUGCGUGUGUGUGUGUGCAACUGCUGACUGUAUGUGUGUGUGCGUGCGUGUGCUUCGUACAAAGCGGAAAGACAAUUUGUACAAUUCGUAUGGAGCUAUAAUAUAUAAUAUGUAUAUAUAUUUUUUUUUUUGGGCUGACAGCGCCUUAAAAUGAAAUUCACACACAAGCACGCACAAUUGUUACACGCUUGCAAAACGGAAACAAAGCGCAGAAUUAUUAAAUGGCCCGAUUGAGCCGACAGUCCACACGCAUUUCAGCUGUUGACCUUGGCGCCGCCCACGCCACGCGCUGCCUUGUACUGCAACUGUUAGUCUAUACACACACACACACACACCCACACACAUACGCACGACAUAUACAGUCGAUGUAAUUUGACUUUUCUAACAGGCACGAAGCCUAAAAACUGCACAGCUAGAAAUUGGGGUUUGCAUUGCUGGCUGGAUUCGUUUUGGAAACCAACAUAUCAGAAAUCCCUCAAUAAUAUCAACUGCCUGCCCAUUAUAUUAUGUUUAAGUACUUGUAAAGUUUCGAUUUUCCACAAAUGAAAACAUUCUAAUCUUAAGGCAGAAGAGAGAUAAAUAAGGUGGCAACACUCUGGUUACAAUCAUCGGCGUGUGUUAAUUGCAAUCAAUGUUAAAUAACAUUUUAUGCUAAGGAAUUCGGGUAUAAUAUAUUUCAAAUUUUAAAUUCCUCUGUUAAUACACCAAAGGAACUAAAAGGAAGAGAGAGAGAGAGAGAGAGAGAGAGAGAGAGAGAGUGGGUAAAGAGAGACUCUUUUAAUGUGACAACUCUAAGAGAAAAUCGAAAUUUUGAUAUUCAAGCUAUGUUAAUUAACAUUCUAUGCUUAAAAAAUCUGAAUUUUAAUUUUAAAAUUCAAAAUGAGCCUGUUAACAAAUAUGUUGCUCAACAAUGUCUUGAUCCGUCUAUAUCUUUA